rnacentral:lncRNA from 1 species
UGAAAUAAAUAUUUCUUUUUCACCAUUUUGAUCGGGUGCAUUAUUUCCCAUUCAUUCCAAUUCAAUUGUCUUAAUACCAUAUAAUUAACCUAUUAAUCAUCAACCAUUAUAUUCAUACCAUAAUUACCUUUAACCUAUUAUUAUUGGUUUCAAUGUUAUGCCAUGCGUUUUUAGUUACAUCAGUGACAAGGCAAUAUAUAUGCAACGGUAGAUAACCAAGUCUAUGAAACCAAACUCCUAUUUCAUCAAUUUGGUCGUAUAUAGUCAGUUUAGCCAUUCCUAUUAAUUUUAGUUUUCAUUCCAACUAAAAGACUACCACGCACAUUUUCCACCAAUUAUUCCAAGUUCUAUAAAUUUCUUCUCUCAUAAUUUCAAGUGAUCGUCAAGCUUUGAUUUCGUGAGCAUCGUUUCGUGGGCUUUAGAGUUUCUUCAAUUAGGAAGUAAAGCGCCUAUAAGGUAAGGGCUUUUUCCCCAUACAUCCAUGCUACAUAGG